UGGGGAAUAUUGGACAAUGGGCGAAAGCCUGAUCCAGCCAUGCCGCGUGUGUGAAGAAGGUCUUCGGAUUGUAAAGCACUUUAAGUUGGGAGGAAGGGCAGUAAGCGAAUACCUUGCUGUUUUGACGUUACCGACAGAAUAAGCACCGGCUAACUCUGUGCCAGCAGCCGCGGUAAUACAGAGGGUGCAAGCGUUAAUCGGAAUUACUGGGCGUAAAGCGCGCGUAGGUGGUUCGUUAAGUUGAAUGUGAAAGCCCCGGGCUCAACCUGGGAACUGCAUCCGAAACUGGCGAGCUAGGGUAGGGCAGAAGGUGGUGGAAUUUCCUGUGUAGCGGUGAAAUGCGUAGAUAUAGGAAGGAACACCAGUGGCGAAGGCGACCACCUGGGCUCAUACUGACACUGAGGUGCGAAAGCGUGGGGAGCAAACAGG
rnacentral:rRNA from 1 species